CCCUUAGAUGUCCUGGGCUGCACGCGCGCUACACUGAUGCACUCAACGAGUUUACGACCUUGCCCGAUAGGGUUGGGUAAUCUUUUUAAAAUGCAUCGUGAUGGGGAUAGAUUAUUGCAAUUAUUAAUCUUCAACGAGGAAUUCCUAGUAAGCGCGAGUCAUCAGCUCGUGCUGAUUACGUCCCUGCCCUUUGUACACACCGCCCGUCGCUCCUACCGAUUGAGUGCUCAGGUGAAUAAUUCGGACUGCAGCAAUGUUUGGAUCCCGAACGUUGCAGCGGAAAGUUUAGUGAACCUUAUCACUUAGAGGAAGGAGAAGUCGUAACA
rnacentral:rRNA from 1 species